CUUGGCUCCCUCCACCCACCUUGUCUACUGAUGACCCUGCUCUGUAUUGUGGGAUGUGCAUCAUUUGGAGGAUGUGAGGCGUUAAACUUGGAAGAUAUUUUAAAAGAGGAUGCAAUGUGGAAAUGCACCACAGAGAUGGGGUUUUGUGAUUCUGGACCAAAAGAUCAAAACGGAUUCCUGCUUCCAAGGAGCCUGGGCGCUGGAGCUCCUCUCAUGAGUUUGCAGAAGAAAGUCACUGCAAUUCACUCCUGUGGGUCUACCAUUUGGGGAGGAAGUAUGAAGACUUAGGCCAACGCUAAAUACUGUGGUUGUACAGUUCCACGCCCCUCGGUUCCCCAAAGCCCACAUCAUAGCUGGCGCGAGUCAGAGCCGAAUCCCCCACAUUCCACUAUGCCAGGAAUAGGAGAGGGUCUGCCAGAGGGACACUCAUGCUGCAGAGAUGGAUAUCAUAACCGACAAGUGUUACCUUCCCAGGAGCAGAGGCUGACAAGAGAUAGGUGGGAGCGAAG